AGUUAUUCUCGUUGAUUCAUAUAAUUAGGAGACUGAUGACAACAUAAUUUCCUCUCCCAAUGUUGCUUUUAUUUCUUAAUGAAAGGGGGGGACUACUUCCCUGAUUAAGUGCAUUUUAUGGGGAAAAAAAUAAUGAAAGAAGGAACAAGAAAGAGUUGAAUUAAACAUCUACAAGUGCCAACCUUCAUUUUAUGCAGUAAGGUUGACGAAUAAGAAAACCAUAAAUUAUUUUCUCUUGCAAUGAAAAAUGAAAUCAGACACAGAAGGACUGCCACUCAAGCGUCUCUCCUGCAAACAUUGGUACGAUGUCUCCAAAUGAAAAAGAAUAAGAUUCUGGCACCUUCCAUGGGGUCUUCUUCAACUUGAUAUGUGAUGUGUUCCUUGGAAGUCCAUAGAAGUCUGGUCCAUUAAAGCUUGUAAAUGCCUCUAGCUUAUCAAGCGCGCCAGCCUCUUCAAAAAUCUUGGCAUACAGUGACAAUGCAACAGGAGCAUUAUAAAUUCCAGCACAUCCACAAGGACAUUCUUUUUUCUUUCUCUCAUGAGGAGCACUAUCAGUCCCAAGGAAAAAUCUUUUACUCCCACUAGUCACAGCUGAAACAAUUGCUUGUCCUAGAUGAGACAUAAACAUAUAAGCUCAUAAUUAAAAGAAAAUACGAAAAAUAAUAUGCAUGAAUUCUUAAGCAGUCCAUUGUGUACUCCUUCCUAUUUAUAACUGAAGCCUGCGACCGCAUAUACAACACAUCAAAAUAAUAUUUCUAGAGCACAAAUUAUUAACCGGACUUUAUAGACAACCAAGUGAAGUAUUUGUAUGCAGUGAAUGCAUGCCAAAAUGCCUUAUCAGCCUCAUAAUUUAUUUUUAUGUAGAUGCUGGGCUACUUUACAUGCCAUAACGAAUAUCAUCAUUUUCUACAACAAACAAAUUAUUAAGCUCAAGAUUUUGAAGUUGUCAGAAGUUGCUCAUUUGCAGCUCAAUAAAAGAUGAUAAUGGAACAUACUAUGGGUUUCCCUUUUGAGUACCGGAAGACAGUAACUAUGUGGUUGUAGCCCUCCUUGGAAGAGAGCAUUUCUGUUGAGAACAAGAUGCUGAGGAGUAACGGUUGCUGCCACAAAUCCAUCAUCACAAGACUCAACAAACUUAACAGCAUCCAUUGUAGUGAUAUGCUCCAUUACAACCUUUAGAUGCGGAAGCCUUUUCAUUAAGGGCUGUAAAACAGUGUCAAUGAAGACCUUUUCACGAUCAAAUACAUCAACAUUAGGAUCUGUAACCUCCCCAUGAACCAGCAAAGGCAUAUUUUGUUCCACCAUCUCCUCAAGUACAGGAAGACAUUUCCCAAAAAGAUCAGUAACACCAUCUUGAGAAUUUGUUGUAGCACCAGCAGGAUACAACUUUACAGCAAAAAUAACUCCACUCCUUCCUGUUAAACCAAGUCGAACAAGCCUUGACACAAAAUAAUUUCUCAACGACAAUAUACAGUUAUUACAAAGUACCGAUGAGGUAAAUCAAAGAUUACACUAUUUUGUUUAACAAAAUUGAAAUUAGUGGGACUAGUGAGCCUAUUGCCACAAUAAAUGCCCUUUAUGUAAUAAAGAAAAGGGUCAAUGCAAGUUCCAGAAUAUUAUGCUUCAAAUAAAACAUGAGAAGCAGGUAAUUACAGCCCAAGUAUAUUCAAAUGCGUUCACAUUCUGUCAGACCAUUGAGAGAAAUACAAGUAAAGGAAAAGAAUAAAGUCAAGUAUCUUCCAGAUGUGAACUAACCAACAGCCUUCCUAUGUUUGCAUAUUUUAGCUUAGACUUACUUGCGAGCUUGAUCUCAUCUGGACUAGUUGAAUCUGUCAAAUAAAGUGUCAUUAGUGGAGUAAAGUUGCAGUUGGCCGGCAGUGCUUUCAAUAUAGAUUCUCGGUAAGCAACAGCAGCAGCAGUAGUGGUAAUGGGAGGUUUCAAAUUUGGCAUAACGAUCGCCCUUCCAAAAUGAUUGGCACUGUGAGAGACAACAGCUUCGAGAAGUUCAUUGUCGCGAAGGUGAAGAUGCCAAUCGUCGGGACGUGUUAGAGUGAGUUCCAUUUUGGAUGCGUUGCACUUUAAAUGCCUAAACCCAGUAAUCUUACAAGAUGGAAAUUGAAAUGCUUUGAAAGGUGGAACUGAAGUCUUUAUCAUUCCAAAUUCAGAAACCUUCUUAAGCUUUUAAUUCAGACAAAAACUCGAACAGGUUGCAUGCAUCAACUAAAUAGAGAUAUAUUCUCAGGCAGGUUUCUAUUGGGGAGCGGACGGAUGAUGAUGGUUCGGGUUGUGGCUUAUUAAGUUGAAAUUUGGGGCCGUCCCCUUUUUGCUCUUCAAGCGGCGGCUGUGU
rnacentral:misc_RNA from 1 species